AGAGGGUCCUGGGUUCGAUCUU
rnacentral:miRNA from 1 species